UACGUAUGGUGCAAGCGUUAUCCGGAAUGACUGGGUGUAAAGGGAGCGUAGACGGUUGUACAAGUCUGAUGUGAAAGCCCACGGCUCAACUGUGGGAGUGCAUUGGAAACUGUAGAACUAGAGUAUCGGAGAGGCAAGUGGAAUUCCUAGUGUAGCGGUGAAAUGCGUAGAUAUUAGAAGGAACACCAGUGGCGAAGGCGGCUUGCUGGACGAAAACUGACGUUGAGGCUCGAAAGCGUGGGGAGCAAACAGG
rnacentral:rRNA from 1 species